UGACCUCGGAUCAGGUAGGGAUACCCGCUGAACUUAAGCAUAUCAUAGCCGGGAAAGGAAAAAAGAUCAUUACGAAGUUUCAUGCCCGAAAGGGUAGACCUCCACCCUUGUGUAUUAUUACUUUGUUGCUUUGGCGAGCUGCCUUUGGGCCUUGUAUGCUCGCGAGACUAAUCAAAUUCUUUUAUUAAUGUCGUCUGAGUACUAUAUAAUAGUUAAAACUUUCAACAACGGAUCUCUUGGUUCUGGCAU
rnacentral:rRNA from 1 species